GGGAACGGCAUCCGGAACUAUUAGGCUAGAGUGCAGGAUAGGAAGGUAGAAUUCCCGGUGUAGCGGUGAAAUGCGUAGAGAUCGGGAGGAAUACCAGUGGCGAAGGCGGCCUUCUGGACUGACACUGACACUGAGGUGCGAAAGCGUGGGUAGCAAACAGGAUUAGAUACCCUGGUAGUCCACGCCGUAAACGAUGUCGACCAGCCGUUGGGUGCCUAGCGCACUUUGUGGCGAAGUUAACGCGAUAAGUCGACCGCCUGGGGAGUACGGCCGCAAGGUUAAAACUCAAAUGAAUUGACGGGGGCCCGCACAAGCGGUGGAGCAUGUGGUUUAAUUCGAUGCAACGCGAAGAACCUUACCUACCCUUGACAUCCUGCGAACUUGUGAGAGAUCACUUGGUGCCUUCGGGAGCGCAGAGACAGGUGCUGCAUGGCUGUCGUCAGCUCGUGUUGUGAAAUGUUGGGUUAAGUCCCGUAACGAGCGCAACCCUUGUCCCUAUUUGCCAGCGAUUCGGUCGGGAACUCUAGGGAGACUGCCGGUGACAAACCGGAGGAAGGUGGGGACGACGUCAAGUCAUCAUGGCCCUUACGGGUAGGGCUACACACGUGCUACAAUGGCCGGUACAAAGGGCUGCGAGCUCGCGAGAGUCAGCGAAUCCCUUAAAGCCGGUCUCAGUCCGGAUCGGAGUCUGCAACUCGACUCCGUGAAGUCGGAAUCGCUAGUAAUCGUGCAUCAGAAUGGCACGGUGAAUACGUUCCCGGGCCUUGUACACACCGCCCGUCACACCAUGGGAGUGGACUGCACCAGAAGUGGUUAGCCUAACUUUGGAGGGCGAUCACCACGGUGUGGUUCAUGACUGGG
rnacentral:rRNA from 1 species